UAAGGAAACCUUGGCUGAGACCCACAAGUACGUGAUCCUCUCUUUUCUAUUAUUAUUUCUACACUUCUGAAUCAUCUAGAGAGAUUCCUGAGAAGGGAAAGAAUAGGACAUCUAUUCUCAUGGAAGAAUAAAACAUUACCCUCUGGAGACAACCAGGCUGGACAGGGGGCAGAGUGAAAACGUCUCUCCAAAGACCUCAGAUAUCAGUUUUCCAGCAUCAAAAGGAGCCAAAGCAGAGAAGUGGGAGUAGGGAGAGGAGUGGAGCUUUGAAAGCUUGCAGAGGUUGCCUGGAACCACUGGAAGAGGUCUGGGAUGUGACACCGCUUCUGCAAAGGUAGAGAAUCAUCCCCUUCUCUCCUCAGUGGUGGUUCUUUCCAGAGCCUAUGGUGUGACCGCAGGGGUGCAGGUAGCCUGGGGUUGAACUGGAAGGGGGAGUCCUGGGGGGGGGGGGGUGGGUUAUGGCUAAAAUCCUGGGGUGAGAGACAGCACGGACAUUGUGAAUUCAGUAUGGGGCUCGUGCAGGGCAGUUGGUUGCAGAUGACCACCCCUUCCCAGCCUGCCCAGUUCUCCAGGCCCAGAAGCUCCUGGCUGCCGCUUGUUCCUCAUGUCUGCUGCAGACACCUGGGGCGGUUCCCUGACAAAGGCAGCUUUCAUCAGGUCUCCUCUCAAGAUGCCCCAGGGGAGAUGUGCAAAGAAACACCUCCUGGAGCCCAACAGCUCUGGCGGGAAAAGUCCGCUCCCCAUGUGCUCCAUGUCUCCUCUGCCCAAACGGCCUCUGCCUCGAGCCUCAAGCAUUUCUCCAGCUUUUCUCCAGGCUUAGUUCCCGCCUUAGUUUCCACUCACUCAGAUUCAUCCCUGAGAGCCUCGCCAACACCACAGCCUCUCUUUCCCCUGGACAGUCUUCCACCCACUGGUUUUCUCUCCUUCCCACCAUGUCAUCCUGAUACAGGGACCUGCCUUCCACCUCAGCACCAUUAGGCUCCUUGCUGAGCCUCCCUCAGGGUGAGCCCAUGGCACUAACAACGGGCACCAUCCCACAAAGGUCACGCCCAUGCUCCCCUUGGAGACCAGCCAUCGUAGGGAUCGUCUGUUCCAGCUAUCCUCUUCCUACCCUGUCUUGGUGGCGGGGGCUGCCAAAGAAUGGAGCUUGUCCACCUUGACACACUUGGGGACCCAAAAGAAUACCUUCCUAUACACUCACCAGAGGCAUGAUUUUGGUGAGACCCAAGAAACAGACAGGUAGAGGCAGGUAGCCUCUUUUUUGUCAGCACAGAUGUGCAGAAGCUGCUAGAAAUGUCAAUCACCAAGAGAGUGGAAUUAAUGUUUUGGAAGGAGUAAGAAAAGAAGGAGGAGGCAGGCUGCCAUGUGACUUCAUUGAUGAAGAGAAUUAAGUCACUGAGUGACAAGGAGGACACCUUGGGCACCAGAAUUCCUGGAAAAUAAAAAGCAAACCAGAACAGAUGCUUGGACACAUGGGGACCCACUGCCCAUCUCACACUGUUUUUCCCAAUGGAACCAUCUUCCUCUCAACUGAAGACUGUCUAUAAUGAAGUGUCUUGACCUAUAGUCCAAAAGAAGGCACAAACUUUGAUCCUCAAUGCAAUUCAAAUCCUACAAUGUCACUUUUUAAAAAAGCACCUAGAAAGUGGGCAAACUUUACCCUCUUUGGUUAGAAAAAUCUCAGCAAGUCUUUAGCCAGAUCACCCCCAAUCUUCCCCAGGAAAACAGGUCUUCCCAGCCACACAAAUCUGUCUCCUUUGUUCCUGGGGAUCUGAUCAGCCCUGAGGUUCAGGAGAGACUGGAGUGCCCUCUUUCCAAAAGGUUCAUGCAGCAAGAGAGUGGCCCCCCCGCAGAACCCAAGAGUCUCAGAAAGUGAUGCAGCCUCAGGGCGAAUCCCCAAGGCCUUGGCAGGCAAUGGACACAAAGAGAUCCUCAAGGCUUUCUGCAGGUCUAGGCAAAAGCAGCCAGGAAACACAGAAAAUGGCAUCCUGGUACCUAGCAAGGAUCCCAACAGGAAAGCUCCUGAGCCAAGAUGUAAAGCAGAGCAUGAGGAGGUUCCUAAAAGUUUUGUGCAUGACCUCAGCAAACCCUCCAGUGAAGGUCCCAAGUGCAAAGCCUGAGUUAGAAAGAGAGUUGAGCCCAGGCAGGAAGCAUCCAGAAGAAAUCCUGGGGGUCUUUAUAAACAGGAAGUCACAGCAGAUCCAUGAGGGUUGGAUCCCUGUUAAUGUCUAUUGUUCAAGGCUUUCUGCCAACCACUUCAUAGACCUUCCUGGACAGUCAAAUGCUCCCAUGGGAACAGAAAAUGCAGGUUGUUCUCAGGAUUGGGAAGCUUCCAUGUAGACUUCCUAUGAGUCUUUUGUCCUCAGUCCUCAUAUUGAACAGGAGCUGGAAGUUCAUAUAAUAAAGUUUCAGGUGAGGCACAGAUGGGUCCUUCUCCUAGGUUCCUAUAUAGGUUGAAGUUGAAAACUUCUCAUCACAUACGACUUCCAAGAUCCACCUUGAAGAUUACCAGUGACUCUGGGGACCACCCAAAAACCCAAGUUAACAGAGGGCUCAGGAAAACAUUCUCAUCCCCAUCCAGGAGAGAAAGUGAUAACAAUCCAGGCAGUGCCCACCCUGGAGAGUACCUGCCCUGACCCCUACCAGGCAACUGAGAAAACCUGGGGGGCUCUGGGAGGAACCUCAACUGGAAACAUCCAGAAGCCCUCAGAGGCCCCUGUGGCUGGGCAGGAAGACAAGCCACCUUCUCAGGCCCCCACAUACACAUUUGGGGGCAGAAUUUGGCACACUGAGUCUAUUGUGGAGGCUGACAAAGGCAGCUUGGAGACCAGUCCACAUCCAGAAAUGGCCAGGAAUGAGCCACAGGAGGAAUCUGGGGAUUGGGCCACCCCAGAAACUUGCUCUAGUGUGACUGUCAUGGACCCUGAUGAAUGUUCCCAAUCUUCCAGAAAACAAGAGGCUGUGGAGGGAGACCCUGCUUAGAAAGGUUCUUUUGAAUCUAGUCUACUAAUCAAAUCCCAAAUAAUUAAUAUUGAUAUAAGAUCAUGGUCUCCAAGGUCCCAUAAAAAUCCCUCCUCAAACACAAAGACUGUUGCCACAAAUCCAGAAGAUGUAUACUUUGAUGAACAGUUUCAUAAGCUUAAGUUCCAAGGGUUCAUAGACUGGCAGAAACUGGCUCAAGGCCAGGCCACUUGCCUGCUCUUUCAAGACUGUGCCGCUGGGAGGCUUCUCAAAACCUGUCACUCAGAUAUAUUCAUUGCCACAAACACCUUGGCUUCCCAGGAAACUCUGUGCUGUUCUGAAACCCUGUCCAAUUCCCACACAUGUGAUGUUAUGUCCAGUGGAGGGAACAGCCAGGGACAGCAGAAAGCCCGGAGAAGGCAGCCCCAACAUAAGAGUCAGCAAAGGAAGUUCGUCUCCACUGAUGCCGGAGAGACUAAUAGGAGGCCCAAACUACAAUAGCAUAAAAAGGGGUUGGUGGUACAGAGGUUCUACCAGGCCCGCAGGAUGAGCCACCCUGGCCAGAAAAAGGAAUCAGCAGAGUCCCUACAAAACAGUUAAUCCUGAAGAAGGGACAGGUUUCUUCAGAAAACCACUUGAAAGAAAAGAUUAAGCAGUUUCUGCAGUGGAUUUGCCCCUGAAGGCAAAAGACUGGAACAAGCCCUGCAAAAAGCAAGCCUGCAGCAGACACAGCCCAGAGGCAGGGGACUGUCAAAAGAAGUCUGAUUGCGGACAGCAAGGCUGUUGAGGCUCAGGCUCUCAUGACUGACAUCUGUUGGACAGAUCUUAUAGGAGAAGAUGGAGCUUCACCAUGGACCACAUCUUCGGAGCUUCACUGGUACAAAGCAGAAACUCAGGCCCCAUUAAGUCCAGCUUACUGCUACCACGGCUUUCUCUGAAAUCAAGAGCAAAGGAGAGUGAUGAAACAAACAGCCCACCACCAGCGAGCUACCCCCAUAGGCCAUAUGUAUCCUACAAAGAGGAAGUGGACCAGUCCCAGGAACAGCACGUGGACCUUCCCACCCAGGGAGCCAGGUCCCCAGCUGGGAAGAGCCUGCCAGCACGGAUCAAGAGUGACAAGUGUCCCAGGCCAUCCCCUCCGCAGCCCAAGGCACUGUCUUCUUCAGAAAUACACCUCUGCUGGUCAAUCAGAACAUCCCUGUCACAGCAUUCCUGGUAGGAAAAUUCUUCUCCCAGAAAAAAUGCAUACUGUGCAUAUGAACAAUUUUUCUCUCAUGUUAGGACAUCCUCUGUGUGUUAAAAGCUUCU